rnacentral:rRNA from 1 species
AAAGAAACUAACAAGGAUUCCCCUAGUAACGGCGAGUGAAGCGGGAAGAGCUCAAAUUUGAAAUCUGGUGGCCUCAGGUCAUCCGAGUUGUAAUCUAUAGAAGUGUUUUCCGUGCUGGCUCAUGUACAAGUCCCUUGGAACAGGGCGUCAUAGAGGGUGAGAAUCCCGUCCUUGACAUGAACUACCAGUGCUCUGUGAUACAUUUUCAACGAGUCGAGUUGUUUGGGAAUGCAGCUCAAAAUGGGUGGUAAAUUCCAUCUAAAGCUAAAUAUUGGCGAGAGACCGAUAGCGAACAAGUACCGUGAGGGAAAGAUGAAAAGCACUUUGGAAAGAGAGUUAAACAGUAUGUGAAAUUGUUAAAAGGGAAACGAUUGAAGUCAGUCGUGCUCUUUGGAUUCAGCCGGUUCUGCCGGUGUACUUCCUUUGAGUGGGGUCAACAUCAGUUUUGAUCGCUGGAUAAAGGCUGGAGGAACGUAGCACCCCCGGGUGAACUUAUAGCCUCCUGUCACAUACAGUGGUUGGGACUGAGG